rnacentral:lncRNA from 1 species
GCAUUGGGGUUGCGCUGGGGUGGGUGUCCAGCGCUGUAGGAGGAACGCGGUGGGAGGAAGGCUUGCGGGCGUGCGGACUCGGCUUCGGGCCGAGCGCUUUGAAGAAUUUUGCAGAACCCUGCUACCUACAGACUCUGCCAUGGAUGUCAUGUAAAGAAACCCCGGAUGUAGUAACGGACAAAACAUGAGUCAGUUUGUGUUGUGGCAUUCAGAUCUGAACACACUGGGAGAGGCACUCACAGUUAAGAGAUUACCUCAAAUCUGAAAUAAGGCUUUGGACUUGUGAACAGUAUUGGAAUUGUUGAAGAAUAUGGGGACUUUUGAAGUUGUCCUGGACAUAUGUUUGCAUUAUAAGAUGACAAUGAAGGCUGCCAGGAAAACUCAGAAAGUAUUGUAUUACCUUUUGACUUGAGUUCAAUCCCCAAAGCCAAAGUGUGGAAGGAGAGAGCUGAUUCCUGCAACUUCUUCUGACUUCUAUAGCACUCACAUAUAUCGGGCACAUGCAUGAGUAUGCACACACACACACACACACACACACAGAUCGAAAAUAGUUGUAAUAAAAAAAAUUAAACAGAUGGUCAUGAAAUUCUGGAAAGAUGGGU